rnacentral:tRNA from 1 species
GCAGUGGUGGUUCAGAGGUAGAAGUCUCGCUGACUAUGUGGGAGACCGGGGUUCAAUUCCCAGCCAAUGCC